rnacentral:ncRNA from 1 species
UCGUCCGGGUCGGUUUCCUGGCUUGAUGAUAUUGCGAAAUUGACCCACCUGGUUGAACAAGGUGGCUCCCGUUAAACACGCGCCAAACGGCGGGAGUAAAAUCUCGCGAAUUGCUGGAACCCCCUAAAGCCAACUUGACCACAACGUAGCCGGCGACGGCAAGCGUGAUGGUUUAAAAACAAGUUGGAUGCAACAAUGGGCAACCAGCAGCCAAGCAUCUCUGGAAACGGAGAUGAAGGUUCAACGACUAUUGAAACUUCCUACAGCUCCCCAUACAAUGAAUAUAAUUAUAAAAAUGUUUGGAGUGAGGGAGCCAUGGAAGGAGUAAAUCGUAACACUCGGCAACGGGGUUACGAGGUGCGAGACAAAGAAGAGAUGUUGAAGCAUUCUCUUCUUUGAUGAUAUAGUCUGACCUCCGCUCGAAAGACGGAG